AUGGGGAGUCGCGGCGGUUUUGAGGCAGCGGAGGCAAAGACCGCGGCGAGUCACGGUGGCGGGAGGUCGCGGCGGGUUGGGCAAAUCCAUGGCGUCCCGAUGGUGAUUCAGACAGGGGGAGGCGCGAUUGGAUCCGGUGUCUGGUUGGGGAAGCGCAGCUCCGGGUUGGUGAUGGUGAGUUGGGCGCCGGACAGGGCAGAACCGGCGCCGGCCGUGGCCAGAGGUGACCCGGCGGGGCGGCAGCUGAAGCGGGCAGAGGUAAUCCGGCGGCGAUUCGGCGGAGCUGGAGAGCCGCGGCGUUGA
rnacentral:rRNA from 1 species